UACGUAGGUGGCAAGCGUUGUCCGGAUUUAUUGGGCGUAAAGCGCGCGCAGGCGGUUCGUAACGUCCGAGGUGAAAUCUCCCGGCUCAACUGGGAGGGGUCUUCGGAUACGGGCGGACUUGAGGAGAGCAGAGGUGAGUGGAAUUCUCGGUGUAGUGGUGAAAUGCGUAGAUAUCGAGAGGAACACCAGUGGCGAAGGCGACUCACUGGGCUCCACCUGACGCUGAGGCGCGAAAGCGUGGGGAGCGAACCGG
rnacentral:rRNA from 1 species